rnacentral:rRNA from 1 species
AUUGAACGCUGGCGGCAGGCUUAACACAUGCCAGUCGAGCGGAGAUGAGGUGCUUGCACCUUAUCUUAGCGGCGGACGGGUGAGUAAUGCUUAGGAAUCUGCCUAUUAGUGGGGGACAACAUUCCGAAAGGAAUGCUAAUACCGCAUACGUCCUACGGGAGAAAGCAGGGGAUCUUCGGACCUUGCGCUAAUAGAUGAGCCUAAGUCGGAUUAGCUCGUUGGUGGGGUAAAGGCCUACCAAGGCGACGAUCUGUAGCGGGUCUGAGAGGAUGAUCCGCCACACUGGGACUGAGACACGGCCCAGACUCCUACGGGGGGCAGCAGUGGGGAAGAUUGGACAAUGGGGGGAACCCUGAUCCAGCCAGGCCGCGUGUGUGAAGAAGGCCUUAUGGUUGUAAAGCACUUUAAGCGAGGAGGAGGCUACUGAGACUAAUACUCUUGGAUAGUGGACGUUACUCGCAGAAUAAGCACCGGCUAACUCUGUGCCAGCCGCCGCGGUAAUAC